rnacentral:misc_RNA from 1 species
ACAAACUUGGUCAUUUAGAGGAAGUAAAAGUCGUAACAAGGUUUCCGUAGGUAAGUGUGGAAGUUUUCCAAUUUUAUCUUCCUAUGCUUGAAUAAUGUGCUGACUUUUCCCUUUUAGGUGAACCUGCGGAAGGAUCAUUACAGAGUGUUUACCCCCCCGUAAAAAGGGGGGUUUAACCUCCCCGUCCUUUGCUGGGUCCCCCUUCUGGAGGACUUUUCAAAACUUUCUGCUUCGGCGGGGUUACCCGCCGGAACAACCUCAAAAAUUCUUUGGUUUUGACCAAAAACUGUCUGUCCGAGAAACUUUUGAGAAAUUAUUGAAAACUUUCAACAACGGAUCUCUUGGUUCUGGCAUCGAUGAAGAACGCAGC